rnacentral:rRNA from 1 species
CAAGUAAUUAAGUGCAUGUGGUGGAUGCCUUGGCAGUCAGAGGCGAUGAAAGACGUGAUAGCCUGCGAAAAGCUCCGGGGAGGCGGCAAAUAUCCUUUGAUCCGGAGAUGUCUGAAUGGGGGAACCCACCUACUUUAAGGUAGGUAUUGCAACAUGAAUACAUAGUGUUGCAAGGCGAACGAGGGGAAGUGAAACAUCUCAGUACCCUUAGGAAAAGAAAUCAAUUGAGAUUCCCUCAGUAGCGGCGAGCGAACGGGGAUCAGCCCAUUAAGUUAUGUGUGUUUUAGUGGAACGCUCUGGGAAGUGCGAACGUAGAGGGUGAUAUUCCCGUACACGAAAGGGCACACAUAAUGAUGACGAGUAGGGCGAGGCACGUGAAACCUUGUCUGAAUAUGGGGGGACCAUCCUCCAAGGCUAAAUACUCCUGACUGACCGAUAGUGAACCAGUACCGUGAGGGAAAGGCGAAAAGAACCCCUGUGAGGGGAGUGAAAUAGAUCCUGAAACCGCAUGCAUACAAGCAGUGGGAGCACCUUCGUGGUGUGACUGCGUACCUUUUGUAUAAUGGGUCAGCGACUUAUAUUCAGUAGCGAGGUUAACCGUAUAGGGGAGCCGUAGAGAAAUCGAGUCUUAAUAGGGCGUUUAGUUGCUGGGUAUAGACCCGAAACCAGGCGAUCUAUCCAUGAGCAGGUUGAAGGUUGGGUAACACUAACUGGAGGACCGAACCCACUGUCGUUGAAAAGCCAGGGGAUGACUUGUGGAUAGGGGUGAAAGGCUAAUCAAGCCUGGUGAUAGCUGGUUCUCCCCGAAAGCUAUUUAGGUAGCGCCUCGGACGAAUACCAUAGGGGGUAGAGCACUGUUUCGGCUAGGGGGUCAUCCCGACUUACCAAACCGAUGCAAACUCCGAAUACCUAUGAGUACUAUCCGGGAGACAGACUGCGGGUGCUAACGUCCGUAGUCAAGAGGAAAACAAUCCAGACCGCCAGCUAAGGCCCCAAAAUCAUAGUUAAGUGGGAAACGAUGUGGGAAGGCAUAGACAGCUAGGAGGUUGGCUUAGAAGCAGCCACCCUUUAAAGAAAGCGUAAUAGCUCACUAGUCGAGUCGGCCUGCGCGGAAGAUGUAACGGGGCUAAAACUAUGUGCCGAAGCUGCGGAUGUAUACUUUGUAUACGUGGUAGGGGAGCGUUCUGUAAGCCGAUGAAGGUGUGUUGAGAAGCAUGCUGGAGGUAUCAGAAGUGCGAAUGCUGACGUGAGUAACGACAAAACGGGUGAAAAACCCGUUCGCCGAAAGACCAAGGGUUCCAGUCCAACGUUAAUCGGGGCUGGGUGAGUCGACCCCUAAGGCGAGGCCGAAAGGCGUAGUCGAUGGGAAAAUGGUUAAUAUUCCAUUACUUCUGUGUAAUGCGAUGAGAGGACGGAGAAGGCUAAAUCAGCCUGGCGUUGGUUGUCCAGGUGAAAGGAUGUAGGCAUGUAUCUUAGGCAAAUCCGGGGUACUCUAUGCUGAGAUCUGAUAGCAAGCUGUACUUGUACAGCGAAGUGGUUGAUGCCAUGCUUCCAGGAAAAGUCUCUAAGCUUCAGUUACACAGGAAUCGUACCCGAAACCGACACAGGUGGUCAGGUCGAGUAGACCAAGGCGCUUGAGAGAACUCUGCUGAAGGAACUAGGCAAAAUGGUACCGUAACUUCGGGAGAAGGUACGCUGUUGUUGGUGAUGGAACUCGCUUCCUGAGCUGACGACAGCCGCAGAAACCAGGCCGCUGCAACUGUUUAUUAAAAACAUAGCACUCUGCAAACACGAAAGUGGACGUAUAGGGUGUGAUGCCUGCCCGGUGCUGGAAGGUUAAUUGAUGGGGUUAGCGUAAGCGAAGCUCUUGAUCGAAGCCCCAGUAAACGGCGGCCGUAACUAUAACGGUCCUAAGGUAGCGAAAUUCCUUGUCGGGUAAGUUCCGACCUGCACGAAUGGCAUAAUGAUGGCGGCGCUGUCUCCAGCAGAGGCUCAGUGAAAUCGAAAUCGCUGUGAAGAUGCAGUGUACCCGCGGCUAGACGGAAAGACCCCGUGAACCUUUACUGCAGCUUGACACUGAACUUUGACCUUACUUGUGUAGGAUAGGUGGGAGGCUUUGAAGCUGGAACGCUAGUUCCAGUGGAGCCGUCCUUGAAAUACCACCCUGGUAAUGUUGAGGUUCUAACUCUGUCCCGUGAUCCGGGACGAGGACCGUGUCUGGUGGGUAGUUUGACUGGGGCGGUCUCCUCCUAAAGAGUAACGGAGGAGUACGAAGGUGCGCUCAGCGUGGUCGGAAAUCACGCGUAGAGUAUAAAGGCAAAAGCGCGCUUAACUGCGAGACCCACAAGUCGAGCAGGUACGAAAGUAGGUCUUAGUGAUCCGGUGGUUCUGUAUGGAAGGGCCAUCGCUCAACGGAUAAAAGGUACUCUGGGGAUAACAGGCUGAUACCGCCCAAGAGUUCAUAUCGACGGCGGUGUUUGGCACCUCGAUGUCGGCUCAUCUCAUCCUGGGGCUGAAGCAGGUCCCAAGGGUAUGGCUGUUCGCCAUUUAAAGAGGCACGCGAGCUGGGUUUAGAACGUCGUGAGACAGUUCGGUCCCUAUCUACCGUGGGCGCUGGAAAUUUGAGAGGAUCUGCUCCUAGUACGAGAGGACCAGAGUGGACGAACCUCUGGUGUACCGGUUGUGACGCCAGUCGCAUCGCCGGGUAGCUAUGUUCGGAAGGGAUAACCGCUGAAAGCAUCUAAGCGGGAAGCCUACCUCAAGAUAAGAUUUCCCUAGGACUUUAUGUCCUCUAAAGAGCCGUUCGAGACUAGGACGUUGAUAGGUUGGAUGUGGAAGCAUAGUGAUAUGUGAAGCUGACCAAUACUAAUUGCUCGUGAGGCUUGACUA